rnacentral:tRNA from 1 species
GGGCCGUUCUGCUAAUUGGUAAGCGCCGAGGUUACUCACCCGCGGGAAUGCGGGUUCAAAUCCCGUACGGUCCACCA